UACGAAGGUGGCAAGCGUUACUCGGAAUUACUAGGCGUAAAGGGCAGGUAGGUGGUUUGGUAAGUCUGUUGUGUAAGCUCCCGGCUUAACUGGGAGAGGUCAACAGAAACUACCAGACUUGAGUAUAGGAGAGGUUACUGGAAUUCCCGGUGUAGCGGUGAAAUGCGCAGAGAUCGGGAGGAACACCAAUGGCGAAAGCAGGUAACUGGACUAUUACUGACACUCAGCUGCGAAAGCUAGGGGAGCAAACAGGAUUAGAUACCCUGGUAGUCCUAGCUGUAAACGAUGCACAUUAGGCGUGAGGGGUAUCGACCCCCUUCGUGCCGACGCAAACGCAUUAAAUGUGCCGCCUGGGGAGUACGGCCGCAAGGUUGAA
rnacentral:rRNA from 1 species